rnacentral:rRNA from 1 species
CCUACGGGUGGCAGCAGUGAGGAAUAUUGGUCAAUGGGCGGGAGCCUGAACCAGCCACGCCGCGUGAGGGAAGAAGGUCCAGCGUAUCGUAAACCUCUUUUGUCAGGGAACAAAGUCGGGGACUCGUCCCCGGAUGAGGGUACCUGACGAAAAAGCAUCGGCAAACUCCGUGCCAGCAGCCGCGGUAAUCCGUUGGAGGCGAGCGUUAGCCGGAUUUAUUGGUUUUAAAGGGUGCGCAGGAGGCCUGUUAGGUCCGCGGGAAAAGCCCGGGGCUCAACCCCGGCGAGCCGAUGAUACUGGCGGGCUGGAGUUGGAGAGAGGUACGCGGAAUGCUCGGUGUAGCGGGGAAAUGCUGAGAUAUCGAGCAGAACCCUGAUUGCGAAGGCGGCGUCCGGGAUCCAAACUGACGCUGAGGCACGAAAGCGUGGGUAUCGAACAGGAUUAGAUACCCUAGUAGUC